rnacentral:misc_RNA from 1 species
GUCAUAUUCUGAAGUCUCGCAUGCCUGGGGAGCAUAUUGUGUUCAAUACCAUCCGAACCAGCCCAAAAGCUUGGUUUAUCAAGGCUGACCUUCCCGAACCUAACUGAAGCAUAUCGCCAUUCAUUCUCUCCCUUCUUUGAUGGGUCAUAUCCAGGCUCAACGAUCAGCUCACCAAAAGAAUCAAAGGCCUUCUGAAGACCAUUGUGGAUGAAGUCAU